UUUGGUAGCCAAGGAUGACUUGCCUGCUCCUCCAUUGAGGUUUUCCUGCUCUGUAUUCAUGGUUCAAAGCUCAUGUUUUGGCCAGGCAAGCAUCCUGGCUAAUUUG
rnacentral:pre_miRNA from 1 species